AUGGAAAUUACAAUGGACGUAGAAACUCCACCAUGCGGUGCGCUCUCUGUCCGUGUGCCGGCAGAGACGGGCUGUGCUGAAAAUUGCACGGCGCCCGAGCCCAUGAGCCCCAAUGGAAGAAUCAUGGAAGAGAUGGGCAUCUACAUCGUCAUGAUGAUGGGACUUGACAUACCGGUGAACCUCCCCGUCUUCCGCACCGGCAUCGAAGCAGAGCUGAUUACUCGUUCCUCGCGGUUCUGCAGUAUAAUGGAUGGAUUCAAGGAUGGCAAGCCACGGUGGGUGCAAACAGUGGUGAACGUGGAUGACCACAUCAUCGUCCCAAGGCUGGAUCCUACCAUGGUGACUACCAACCCGGAAAAGGCCGUCGAGGACUAUGUAGCAUCGCUGUCCACACUCCCUAUGGAUAGGCGUCGCCCUCUUUGGGAGUUCCACUUCCUCAAUUUGGAGACCUCUGAGGCUACCUCUACAGUGGUGCUCCGUCUGCACCACUCCAUCGGUGAUGCCAUGUCCAUCAUGACAAUCUUUAUGGCUUCGUCGUGCAGCACGGCUGAUCCUACAAGGCUGCCGGCCAUGCCGCCGCCGCCAAGACGGACUGGCCCGAUCUACCAGGGGCGUCUACGACCUCCGUUGACUUUGUCUGGCGAUUACCUGGCAUGGGUUUGGUCCUAUUUCGUGCUGGCAUGGCACACGUUGGUGGAUGCCACGUUGCUUGCUGCGACCAUACUGUUCUUGAAAGAUCCACGCACGAUAUUCACGCCCCCGCCAGAUGGCACUGAGUCUUGCCGGCACAAGCGGUUUUUGCACCGGAGUCUUAGCCUUGAUGAUGUCAAGCUCAUCAAGACUGUUAUGAACUGCACUAUCAACGACGUGCUAGUUGGUGUCACUUCUGCAGCUCUUUCACGAUAUUACUUUAGGAAGUCCGGGGACAAUGACACUAAGAGAAUCUGCUUGCGAUCAAUACUCCCUGUCAACACAAGGCCAGUUUCUACCCGACAAACAUAUGUUACCAAGGUAGAGACAGGGAAUCGAGUUAGUGGCCUCAGCUAUCCAUUUCAUAUCGCUUUGCACAAUGAUCCCCUUGAAUAUGUUCGCGAGGCAAAACGGUCGAUGCACAGGAAAAAAAGCUCUUUAGAAGUGAAGUUGGUACAAGUGGUUGGUGAUUUUUCUGUGAAAUGCUUUGGUGCAAAGACAGGAGCUUUCAUCUACCGACGGUGUACCACACAUACAAGCAUAACAGUAUCAAAUGUCAUUGGGCCAGCUGAACAUAUAACGCUAUGUGGACACCCAAUUACCUUCAUGGCAAUUAGCACCUACGGGCAACCACAAGCUUUAAUCCUGCACUACCUAAAUUAUGGUAGCACUAUCAAGGUAAUUAUGGCAGUAGAAGACGCGCAAUUUCCAGAUUGUCACAAGCUUUUAGAAGAUUUUUCUGAGUCCAUCAAGCUCAUUAAGGAUGCGGCAUGCCUCCAGAAACUAACAACAUCGACCCAAAAUGAAUGA
rnacentral:rRNA from 1 species